rnacentral:rRNA from 1 species
CCUACGGGAGGCAGCAGUAGGGAAUAUUGCUCAAUGGGGGAAACUCUGAAGCAGCAACGCCGCGUGGAGGAUGAAGGUUUUCGGAUUGUAAACUCCUUUUGUUAGAGAAGAUAAUGACGGUAUCUAACGAAUAAGCACCGGCUAACUCCGUGCCAGCAGCCGCGGUAAUACGGAGGGUGCAAGCGUUACUCGGAAUCACUGGGCGUAAAGAGCGCGUAGGCGGGAUAGCAAGUCAGAUGUGAAAUCCUAUGGCUUAACCAUAGAACUGCAUUUGAAACUGUUAGUCUAGAGUAUGGGAGAGGUAGGUGGAAUUCUUGGUGUAGGGGUAAAAUCCGUAGAGAUCAAGAGGAAUACUCAUUGCGAAGGCGACCUGCUAGAACAUAACUGACGCUGAUGCGCGAAAGCGUGGGGAGCAAACAGGAUUAGAUACCCCAGUAGUC